rnacentral:lncRNA from 1 species
UAGACCUCAAAAAGCUUGAUCUCUUGGUCGCCAACGCUCGAUCUUUGAUCCCUUGAAGCUUGGAAACAGAUCGCAAUCUAUUCGCGACGCAAAGCGAAGACAAACAGGCACAAGCAAACAAACAUAUAUAUGCAUAAGAACAUUACACCAUGCCAAAAAGAACAUAAUAAAGCAUGCAAAACGAAAUAGAGCGCGUUACUACGGUCACGCGAGGAAAAAGAAAUGCGAUAGUCGGAGCUACGGUUGGGAAGUUGGCGCGUUAACGUUGAACAAGUAUUAGCUAUAACUUCUAGUUCAACUUUAUCAAAUAUAAAUAUUAUACAUCAGCCAGUUCAAUUAAUCUGCUACACUAACGGCUAUCAGUUAAAUAAAUAAUUUAAUUAAAAAGAGAGAUUCUAAGCGAGAUGAAUUUAUGACACGUGAAACUGCACGACAGCGUGCAAACGACGCGUGGACACGCGCGACAUAGCACGCUGACGAUACACGAAACAGCGCGCACGACGAGCGCGAACGUCGCGCCAACCAGCACGCCACCAAGUGCGGAACAACACGCGUGCCAGACGAGGAAAACUAAAUAGGUGAUGCGUUUAUACCAAACCAAUAUUAAAUAAUUAAAAGCAGUUAAGUUAAUAUUGGUCAUGUUAAUAUUUAUUAUAAAAGCGCAGUUGAACAGUAUAUAUUUAAUCUAAUUGAAAUAUUAGUCUAAUAAAUAUUAGUCGAGCGAACCUUAAGUUAAUUAUCUAACAUAUAUGACCUGAUGGAUUAACGGUACUAACAUGAGUGCUUAUAAGCUAAAACAAUUUAUUAUCACGCGCAGACGCCGCGCGACACACGUGAUCGACAAGCGAGAUACGCGUGAACAAUGCGCGGCAAGGCGAGCGACAUGUGUAAAUGGCACACACGACGCACGCAAACGACGUGUGACAACGUGUGCGAACAGCACGCAUGACACGCGUGAACGACGCGCGACAACACGCGAAUAACGCACGAACUAGACGCACGAACAACACGACGACGACGAGCGCCACAUAUGCGAACAGCACGAGAGGCGAGUGCGAAAAGCACGAGCAGCACGUGCGACAACUCGCAAGCAAUGUGCGGCUACAUCGCAAGCUGUGAACUCGCAAACGCUACAGCGAGGCGACGACGUGCGUGAACAGCGCGACGAGCGGGGAACCAUUAACAGAUGUCGUGUUUACAAUGAACAAAUGUUAAAUAAACAACUAAAUAAAUAUUUAGGUUGGCAUGACUCAUGUUAACGUUUAUUUAUACUUGCGCAAAUUAAAAUUAUACAUUAGUUUUGAUUAGGUCACUACUUUAAUAACCAUCGGAUAAACAAAUGAUCAAUUAAUUAGUUAAAAAGAUGUGGCACGAUAUAAUAAUAUUAUUAACUCGUCGGUGACGAUAUUACGAAGCUCAUGCAAAUUGAACGAAGAGAAUUGGAUUUAUAACGCAACAUAUAUCAAAUAUUUAACACUUCGGGGAUUUUAAGCGAUGCGACUAAUUAUUAUUGCUAGCGGUUGGCCACACCUAUGGUCUCACCAGACGUAGCCAUAGAAGAUCCCAAGCUUAGGAUCACAUGUGGCUAGCUUCUUCCCAUUCUUUUUACAACCGCACGGACACGGCAAGGGGAUUUCUUCUUCGUUGAACAGCAGCAUAGAAGAGAGAGAGAGAGGACCGUCCAUGGGACUCGGCAGGAGCUGCAGGAGCUAGACGAGGGCAGGUUCGGCUGAGGCAGCCAGCUGCGCUACCAGCAGGGGACACACACGCCCGGGCGUCAUCGCGCCUGCCCAUGGCUGGACGCACGAGCACUGCACAGGGGUGGGAUGGAUCCUGUCGCGCUGGGGAAGUGGAGGCCAGGGGGCGAGGCGAUGCCGGUGGGAGGGGACACUAUCACGAGCGUGCGUGGCGACUUGCGGAGCAGCAACGGUGAGGCUCGGCAAGCGCUGUGUUGAUGCACGACGGCUGACGGCCAUGGCCGGCGCGGCUACAUCUCUACAACACGGUGGCAUAGCGGGCAAGGCAGGGUAGCAGACAGCAGCGCGGCGUUGGGGUGAGUGAUAGCAGAUCGACAUCAAGACGAGGUCCGAGAAAAGAAAUCAAACGACGCAUGAUAUUUUCUCACCUCGAAACGGAUCUCGACGGAGAAUGUCGCGGCAACGGCUUAACGGAGCUUCGGCACGGCGGGGAGUGAACACGGCAGUUUCCCAAGAGCCGCAAGUCUUGGGACGGAGGUUCGUGGCCGACGUCAGUUCUCCUGUGUGCUUGGUGCAGGGACAACGGCGAUCUGCUCGGGGAGACUCGACAUGCGGCAAGCGCGGCGGAUAUUGGUGAGAGAGGAGGCGACGUGGGCGUGAGCUGGCCGAGCGGGGCAGCGGCAGAAGCGGUUGGGCGGUUUUUGUGCGCGCGCGUUGGGGGCGAGGUGCAGGCGGUUGCUGACCGACCGACGUGGCUGCGUACGCCGUGCGCGCUGGGGGCGAGCGCGGAGGGGUCGGCUGCGUGCGUGCUAGAUGCUGG